rnacentral:rRNA from 1 species
UACGUAGGUGGCAAGCGUUGUCCGGAUUUACUGGGCGUAAAGAGCGCGCAGGCGGUCGUUCAAGUCGCGUGUGAAAGCCCCCGGCUCAACUGGGGAGGGUCACGCGAUACUGAUCGACUCGAAGGCAGGAGAGGGAAGUGGAAUUCCCGGUGUAGUGGUGAAAUGCGUAGAUAUUGGGAGGAACACCAGUGGCGAAGGCGACUUCCUGGCCUGUUCUUGACGCUGAGGCGCGAAAGCUAGGGGAGCAAACGGG